rnacentral:misc_RNA from 1 species
AGGGGGAUGAGGAAGGUAAACAUCCAGAGGUCAUGUGACACAGAGACACACUCUGAUUGGCUCUCUGGAUGCCAACUUUUAUUAGGCUUUAGUUUGUAAUGAAGGGAAACCUCAUGAAAUCCAACAUAUGACUGUGUUAAGGACUUAUUUAAAGAAUUCUUUUGUAACUGACAAGAUUUGUAUUGUUUGAUGAUAAGCCGAAACACAAAGAGAUGUUGUGUUACCGUCAAAGAUAAACUCUCCAUAUUAUUGCUAAAGAAAAUUGAAACUUUUGAGGCUAAAAUAGAACUGUUCAACUACUUUACACAUACUUGUAUGUUAGUCUUAAAGCAUUAUAUAUAUAACUCUUAGUCAGGAAAUCUGAAGAGUGCUACAUUCUGUCCAUUCAUUGCUAACUAAAGCUGUCUCUGACUGCAAGACUAUAAAAGACUUUGGUAAAAAAGUCUGCAUAUGACAAGUGUUCCAGAAACUCACAGUUUGAGUCGGAUAACUUUGAAUUUAAUGUCUUGACGCUCAGAGUGAACUUUCAAAUAUAUUUAUACAUAUAUAUUGUACAGCUCAUCAAUCAUCAUUGAACCAUUGAAUGCUAUUUGUCAUUAAAAGAUAGUCUUUCAUCAUUUUAUGUUAAAGAAUUUUUAAAAUAUGUUGUAUAGCAGAGGGAUACAUUAUGUAUUUUGAUGAACUUGGGAAUAUUAUUUUUUGUUUUAUCAUUUUGUUGUCUCAAACUCAUAACCAUAUGACUUUUUCCAUAAUUGCCAGAAAUUGUUCUGAGAACAGUAAACAAUGCGCUUUAAAACUAUUCCAUUAUAUAUUUAUUUUUGAAAAUUAAUACGCAUUAACUUGCUGGACUAGUGUCUUUCAUUUCUUUUCCUUCAUGUUCUGAAUACAUCAUUUGUUAAUUCAUUUUCACCAAUAAACAGAAAAAAGG